rnacentral:rRNA from 1 species
AGAGUUUGAUCCUGGCUCAGAUUGAACGCUGGCGGCAGGCUUAACACAUGCAAGUCGAGCGGUAGCACAGGGGAGCUUGCUCCCUGGGUGACGAGCGGCGGACGGGUGAGUAAUGUCUGGGAAACUGCCUGAUGGAGGGGGAUAACUACUGGAAACGGUAGCUAAUACCGCAUAACGUCGCAAGACCAAAGAGGGGGACCUUCGGGCCUCUUGCCAUCAGAUGUGCCCAGAUGGGAUUAGCUAGUAGGUGGGGUAAUGGCUCACCUAGGCGACGAUCCCUAGCUGGUCUGAGAGGAUGACCAGCCACACUGGAACUGAGACACGGUCCAGACUCCUACGGGAGGCAGCAGUGGGGAAUAUUGCACAAUGGGCGCAAGCCUGAUGCAGCCAUGCCGCGUGUGUGAAGAAGGCCUUCGGGUUGUAAAGCACUUUCAGCGAGGAGGAAGGUGGUGAGCUUAAUACGUUCAUCAAUUGACGUUACUCGCAGAAGAAGCACCGGCUAACUCCGUGCCAGCAGCCGCGGUAAUACGGAGGGUGCAAGCGUUAAUCGGAAUUACUGGGCGUAAAGCGCACGCAGGCGGUUUGUUAAGUCAGAUGUGAAAUCCCCGGGCUCAACCUGGGAACUGCAUUUGAAACUGGCAAGCUAGAGUCUCGUAGAGGGGGGUAGAAUUCCAGGUGUAGCGGUGAAAUGCGUAGAGAUCUG